ACUCAACCAACGAACUAAAAACGGUCUAAGCUUAUUUAGAUCGCUGAAGCAAAAACAGAACACGCGGGUCAAAAAAAGAACCCAUUCCAUAUCAGUUUCAACACACUGUGUGCUCUCACUCUUCCCUCUCUCUCUCUAUCAGCGACCCUGUCCCUCUCUCUUUCUAUCAGCGUGCCUGAAGCAAAUCGGAAGGGUAAAAAAGCGAUCGAACAGGUGGUGUUGCAAAUCGGAAGGUAAAGAUUCCAACAAAGACAAUCGGAAGGUAAAGAUUCCUACUUAAUUUUGUAAUUUCUGUUUGAUUUGAAAGAAAUCUAGGGUUUGUUUUGGGGAAAGUGUAUUGUUGAUGUGAUGGCCUCUUUGUUCUCUGUUUUCUCCAUAUACAAACAUCAUAUACAAGCCGUUUUUGUUCUCUGUUUACUACAUCUCCGUCUUAAGGGCCUCUUUCUUAUGUUUAUAUUUUUAUUUUUAUGUUACUUUUUACCCAUUAGCGGCUUGUUGACAUCAUAGGUUUAUACAUAGAUAAUAAAGCUUGGAACUCAGGGAGUACCAACUUUCUUGGCUUUUUUCUUCUUUUUUUUAUUUAUUUACCAAUUCAUAUACUUUGAGUUAUUAACCUCAAUCUUAAAGUGCUAGUAUCGCUGAUUCUUUGUCAUGAAAAUUGAGGCCCUCUUCUUAUCCUAGAACCAUAAUUGUAAGUGUACUCAAUCAUGACCCUGUGAGACUUGGUUACUGCUAUUCAAACACCACUUAAAUUUAAAUUCUUAAGGGCCUCAAUCAUAAAAAAGAAUAAAAAGGUUAAUUUAGUGAUUGAGUUUUGGUUGGAUCAAGUGGAGAUGAAAAAACAUAAUUCAAAAAUUGUCUCAUUGAGUAGUACUCCAUGUAUUACUGCAGAGUUUUAUAUAAUAAGUAUGAAAUCUAUCCACGAGACUUAAGACAUUAAGGUACAAUUUAGUUGUCCUUAUAAAUAUUAGCCAAUUAAGUUUUCAAUUGAGCAAGGACCCUGUCUAAUUAAAGCAUUAAUUGAGUAAGAAUCUUCUUAUUCAAAAUAGUACUACCAUAUUUUUAAUAUACAUACCCUUGGUUAUCCUUUUUGCUUGGGGUUGUGAGACCUUGGAGAGGAAUGGCAGAAUUCUGAGCUCCCAACUUGAAGUUCAGAACACGAAUUUUCAGUUGGAUAGGGAGCAUAGGAAAGAUCAUGGAAAUAGCCAUAUUGUUGUUCUUAGUAACGAGGGGUAUAAGAGAGAAGGUCCAAACGAGUUCUCAUAUUUCAUUCAUCAUCAAAAGAAUCUCACAGUAGCUGAACUAGGCAUAUUUAAGAGAGAUCCUAGUGAUUCUCUGUUACAUAAAACAAAGAAAAAGAUUAAGCAUUGCCUUAAUUCUAGAAAUAUCCUUAAUUAGUAAUUACUAGAGUACUCCUUCAAGUUCUGCAAUUCCUAAUAUAUAAUUUUCACUACAGGCAACUAUGAAUGUCUAAGAAGCAUCAGGUGUGUGCCAUAAGGGAAUUUGGCAGUUCUACAAAUCUCAGAAAAUAGGUUUUGUGGAUUUGGCACAUAAAUUAUAAAUAUAAGUACAUACAAAUAUAUUACGUAUGCACAUACAUUAACAUUUAAAUGCACAUAAAGAUCAUGCAGAUGUUAUUCAAACAUAAUUGUAAGUGUACUCAAUCAUGACCCUGUGAGACUUGGUUAAUGCUAUUCAAACACCACUUAAAUUUAAAUUCUCAAGGGCCUCAAUCAUAAAUUUUUUUUGUCAUAUGCCCUUUGGAACUCCUGCACAGCUAGAUUAUAUAUUUAUAAAUUUGCAAGUGAUGGUUAAUACACAGUUACUUGAGAUGUCAAAAACUUAAACCACUAAAUGUGUCCUGAAUUUUAUCCACAAUAUAUAAGGUAACCAUGCCAAAAAUAACAGACCAUUGAUUCAUGAUGUAUGUUACAUUGAAGAUGGAAGAACAAUUUCAUAUACCAAGUAUCAAGCACCAAAGAAAUGAUGCUUGUAUAUGGAGAAAUUUGGUAAGGCUUCGGUGAAGUAAAACUUUACAUACUGUAAUAUCUAAAAUACUUGUACUCUCAUGAUGAGAUAGUUUUACCUUGUCUCAACUCAGAAAGCGAAGCUUGAGUUCAGAGUUGGUUUUUCACCAGCAUAUAUUUAGUUAGCAUCCGGUUGCAGCAUAUAUUACCAUGUACCAAUUUUUAUGAUGUUCAUGAUAUCAUUUUCUAGUUUAAUAUGAUUGGAAAUUGGUCUGCACCUAACAAAGAUGAAAUUAGGAAACACUUCUGAGAUCUUUUGUUUCAUUUAUAUUCUUCACAUAUGUAUGUUUGCUAUUUGAGUUGUCAUCUAUCUAAUAAACUGUUUUUCUGAUAUGGGUGAAAUGACAAAAUAAGUAAGUACAAAAAUGAAUAUUUAGGUUUAUUUUUCUGGUUCAAAGAUGCAUAAGUUAUUUUCUUAUAUCUAAAGUGGUGAUAGUUUUAGAAAUUUUUUUGUAUCUAAUUAACAAGCUAACGUAAUUCAUUCAAAUAUACAAUAUGAAAUUAUUGUUGUUCGGUUUUAUGCAUGCCUGCUGAUAGAAAAUAUGUCAUCAAAUUCGUUUACUGCUACAUCUGUAUGGCCUCCGUUCAUAUGUCGUUGUGGCACGGGCCUUUAUAUAGUAGAUUUUUCAAUGUCGGAAAAGAAUCCGGGUAGACACUAUUAUUCUUGCCCAAGAAUGGUAUGAAUUUAUUUAAUGUUAUUUUUGUAUAUUUUUUCCUUUUACACAAGUGAAUAAAUUUAUUGUUUCCCGAAAUAUGCAACAAUGUGGUAACUUCAUCAGCUGGUGUGACGAAUAUGUUCGAUUGUUGCAUAAUCAAGGGAGAUUGCAUAUGGACACAUCCGAGCGUUUAAAUAUAACAACUCAUCCAAUGAAUACUAACGACUCCAACGAAUUAGCGAUGGUGAAAAUUGAAUUAUGUCAAUUGCAUCUAACUGUGCGAUUUGUCAUAAUUGUUAAUGUUAUGUAUGCGGUGUUGUUGUUAAUGUUAUUAAAUCGGUUGUAAUUUUGAUAAUUUUCAUUAUCUAACCAACACGUUAUGUAUGCAGUGUAUAAUUUGUGGUUUACAAUAUUAUAUAUGUUGAGAUGGACAUCAAUAGAACGUUUUAUACCGUUGUACGUGUUCGUGGUGUUAUUUGUUACAAGUAUAUGAUGGUUCUAACAGACAUUUCUGUGUUCAUGUUAUUUGGAACCGAGGGAGCUUGUAUUAAUGUAAAUGUGACGCUAAAUAUAUCAGGUUCAUAGUGAUCUAAAAUUACAUGUUUUACUCAAUAGGAUUUGGUGCCAGUUUUGCUUAGUGGAUGUAUCUUCUUAAAUUUUGAUACCAUGUAGGUUUAAUGACAUGGUAUAAAAGUUAUAAUGGUUAGUAAUUUACUACUUACACUGGAACUGAAGCAUGAACAAGAUCAAGUGGAUAUAAGAUUCUGGAGGCCUUUGACUGCAAAAGAACAAGUGGGUUUGAAGAUUUUUCAUGCUAAUUAAGAUGGUCUAUGUUUCAAUUGAUUUAGUUAUUGUAAGACCCCAACUUUUAUGAAUAAAGAUGAAUUUUUUUUAAAAUAUUA
rnacentral:lncRNA from 1 species